rnacentral:lncRNA from 1 species
CAGCUCCGGCAAGCUGAGAGUUGCUUCCCUAUUUCUCGAUAUGGGCAAGAUGCCUCUGCUUUCUUCCACAAUUCCUUUGCCCUUAUUUCCCACCAGAUGGAUCAACAAUACUUUCAACUCAUCAAGAACAAAAUUCUUGAGGCUGGCGGUGACCACAAUCAACUUUUCUCAUAUACAAGUCCUCAUCUCAUCCUUGAAUCCUUUCAAUUCUUCAGAAUUCCAACGGCAAUUACCUGCAAUUCUUGCAAUUGCUCUUCGAACUCUGCCAAUUUCACAGCGUGAGCACUAACAAUAUGAGAUCUAGUCAUCUUGCUACUCCAAUGCACCACUUUCAGUCAGAAUCAACUGCGCUCUGAUACCAAAUGCUAGGAAUCCCUAACAGAUCUGGUAGUCCCAGUGAUAGUUACUAGAAUAACAGAAAGAGAGAGAAGAGAAAGUGAGGGAGAGAGAAUUUUAGGAGGGAAAAACAGUUAACUUUAUUGAUGAAUGAUUGCCCUGAAUAGGCCUUUCCAGCUGUUUAUAUACAAGUCAGCUAGCUAAAACAAUUGCUCCCGCCCAAACGCUUACUUAUUUCUAUACCUAGUUCUUCUACAUGUCACAUAUUGAUAUUAUGAGUAUGAAUGAAAUAUUGAUAUUAUAAUGAUGUUUAUUGAUUUAAGUGUCAAUUACUAGUUUUGGUGUCAAACAAUUAUUUUUUCUAACUACUGCUGUGUGCAUUUGGCCCCUUUCCCCUUUGACAAACAUGCCAUUAAUUAAGAUAAGAAAAUGACUAAAUAGAAAAAACUACAUGUGUCUUCAUAUAACUUUCUUUUCCUUUCAUUAAUUUUUAUUUUUAGCUUAAAUUGUCAACAGACGAACAGAUAAUGCAGGAUCGGAUGUAGACAAGAGAAGGCUUUAGAUUCCAAUACUCCCAAGCAAAUGAAUGAUGCCAAUGGAACUACAAAUUCAAGUCCAAGAGGGCAAGGCAUAGUGUGUAUAAGAAGGGUACAGGUACAACAAAUCAGAAAGAAAACAAAAAAAAUUAGUACAAUUCCAUAGGCUUUAUGGAAUUCUAAUAACAACGAGAUCAAUCACCAUUUCCCAGAUUAUAGAAACUUAACUUAGUGCAAAGAAUGGUUCAUCCUGGAAAAAUAAAAGCACUCAUUUCUUCUAGAUACUCUUAAUCAAGAAACCUUCCAACUCAAACACUAUACCAAGGAUACAUUAGGGUUUCAGAAACCCAACCAAAGAAUGUGCAGAGGAAAGAAGAAUAGAGAGAGUUUAGGUAGAAAAGAAAAAUGAGAAUUCGUUAGAAGAUAAUAGAAAGUAUUAUUCUUGAUAAUUCUGGAAUGAAUUACAAUAAAGGUCACUGAGUUUGUUAGCAGCAAUAAAGACAAUGUGCAGGUGACUGCAUACUGAAUCUCAAUACAAGUGAAAGAACUCAAAUUAAGACAAACACAGCAGUACAAUAAUGAAAAUAGAAUUGCAUGGAUAAGCCUAAACCAAGCAGAAGUGUUAGCAAACCAAGGGUUGGAACAUCCUCUAAGAACCUUCAACUUUUUUUAUUUAAUACGUAUUGAAAGUUUUAUCCCAUGAAACCAAACUAGAAAAAUAAUAAUAACUUUGAAGUUAAACCAAGUGUCAUAAAACAAGAAUUUCCUAACGGGAAAAAUAAAAAUAAAACAACUAAAAUUAGGUGCAAAACUUACAAUGAUUCGGCCUUCAAUUCUCAGAUCCUUCUACUCAAAAAGCCAUAUUUGAAUGCGGGCUUUCUAUGAGAACCACAUAAAAAAGAGAGAGAAGAAGAAGCAAGUAUUAAGCUUCCCAUUAAGGACAACCUAAUUUAAGCAAACCCAAAUGAGUAAAAGAAUAGAAUAAGCGAAGAACUGACUUACACUUUGAAGAAACCUGAAAAUCAGGUUCUGAUGCAGCAUAUCCCAGUAAGCACAAAGUAAAGCAACAAAUGAGAGGAGGAAGGAGACAAAAAAGCCACAAAUAAAAGUUGGGGGUUAAAGACAACAAGAAGCAUAAGUGUUAAACGUACAAUGGGUUGGGUUAUAAUCCUUUGGACCUUGGUACUAGCCAUGUUGAUGAGCUCUGGAGGAUUCCGGAGGCAAAGAGAAAGUUGAGUUGGAGAGAAGUGCAACCCUAGAACGAUUUGAGCCAAGAGGCAAAUUAGUCAUAUUUUUCUAACCAAAUAGAUUUUUUUUUAGCCAAACCAAAUAGAUAUUUUGUUUUGAGUAAUAUGCGGGGGGAUAAAUUACUCUAAGCUCUCUAUGGUUUGUUAAAAUUAGUUACACAAUACAUAUUUUAAAAAAAUAAUUAAAACAUUUAUUUUAAUUUUAACUACAGAAAUAACAUAAUAUAUAGCAAGCCUAGUCUGGUUUGAUCCAAUGGUAAAAAGAAAUAUUACUCACUUAGGAGACUCAGGCUCAAGUCUGAUACCCCCAAUCCCCUACUUAAAAAUAUAUAUAUAUAGAAAAAAUUACAGAUAUUAAAUAAUAAGAUUCUUAAAAUUACAACAGAUUAAAAGAUAUAAAUAUUAAAAACUAAAAAAAAAAUAUAAUUAAUAUGCCCUUAACAAAAUUAUUAAAGGAUUUGAUUUUAAAAGUAUCACUAUGUUUUAAUUGGGCUUUAAAAAGAUAACAACUAAUGAUUAAUUUUAGCACAAUAUAAAAAUGUGUCAAUAAUUUAUCCUGUGAACCAAAAAUGGCUAACAAAUUGAUAUGGACAAAUCACAGUUACAUUCUUUUUUUCCUUUUUUGAAUAAGUUAAGUUGUUGAAUAUUGGCUUAUUAAUAAUUUGAUUAUCUUAUUUUCUUUUUAAAAAAAAAAAUCAUAGCUUCUUUAUCACUUACAUAUAGAUCAUUUCAUUCCGUUCUUUUUUUUAAGGCUCCUUCUGUUUCCUAGGAAAUAUUUUUCAAGAAAAUGUUUUCUACAUUUGUUGGUAUUUGAGGCACUCAAAAAAAUUAGUCUCACAUAAAAUAUUUUUCUAGUUAAAAGAAAAAUUAACUUAUUUUACAGAAAAUGACUUCCUCUUUUGAGAAUCUUAUUAACACCUUUAUAUAUAAAAUUGUCAAUAUAUUUUAUUUUUUAAAUUAAUAAACAAUGAAAAAUAAGUCAUUUUAUUAGAAAUUUUUUCAAUGAAAACAUUUUCCACCGGAAAAUAUUUUUCAAAUGCAAGUUAUGUUCCACAAACAAACGGCGCCUUAAUUUUGCGAUUAGAAAACCCUAAAAAUAACAAAAGUGUUUUUACUUAAAAUUCCUAAAACCAUUUGAAUUCACAAAUAAAUGUUUGAUUAAUACAAGUGCCAGUAAAUACUUUGCAUACUGAAACCCAUAAAAUUCGGAUAGCUUCAUACAUUCGUCACUCUUUUUAAUUAUAAACAAAGAUUCACACAAACUUUAAGCACAAAACUGAACAGGAGCUGAGACAUAAAAGAACGAAAUAAAAGAAUAAAGUGAAGUUUUUGUAUUUGAUUGCCAAUCAUUUUUUGCAUGCUAUGGUAUCUAUUCAUGCAGUAAACCAAAGAGAUGUUACUGAGGAAAAGGACAGUUAGAAGGAAGAAUAAAUUUAAAAGUCACCUUCAUCAUGAAGGAAUGAAGACAUGAAGCUAAAGAAAAAUGUUUUAUAAAGCUCAUUUUUACAUUUAAGUCAUUACUUUUCAUCCAUUUUCUCAAAGCAUUUUUUUAUUUCUAUCUUUCUUCUUUUCAAAUCACACUCUAAGAAAACAGAUUUUUUGUGGGGAAAGUUUUCCACAUUAUAUCUUGAAUUACACCACUAUAAAAAUUUGUAGUGAAUAUAAAAUUAGUCACAACGUUGCCAUUAGAAGUGUGAAACAAAAGAUCACAGUGGUGAAAUUAUUUCACCACAAAAGCUAUAUUUUCUAUGGGGAAAUAUGAUCCAUUAAAAAUAUAGUUUAUUAGAGAAAAGUUUUCCCACUAAAAAUAAAACUUUUGCAGCGAAAAUCUUCCCCACUAAAAGAUAUGACUUUUGCAGCAAAACUUUUCUUCAUUAAAAGUUUGUCGAUUUGUGGGAAAUUUUUCCCCACUAAAGCAUAUCAUUAUAAUAAAAUAGUUACAAUUGAUUUAGUCAUAGGAGUUUGCUUACAUAUAAUUUAGUAGUUGCCUAUUUAUUAAUACUCAUUUUAUUAAAUCAAUUGAUUAAUAUGAGAAAUAAUAGAUCACCUUAAAAGUAUAUGGUUUCCAUUAUAAAAGAUAUGGAUAUUAAUGUACAAAGAUUUGGGACGACUCCAACCCCUGACUAUAAAAGAUCUCAAUAUGAGGGUUACAAUGAUUCAGUUGAGUUUUGAGUCAACAAUAGCACCUCUAUGGAUGCACUAGUUCUGAUGUGAUAACCAUCUGUCAGAAGUUGACAUUCAGAAUAGACAAAAGCAAGAAAAUUCUCUUAGAACAAUGAGUAAUAUUCUGGCCUCCACCUCUGUUUGUCUUGUCCAGAUGUUCAAACAGAAGCAUUUGUCAAUAUGAAAUACACCAACUUCCAUGCACAUAGUCCAAAAAAUAAAUGAUGCUUUAGGUUCAUUAGUUAGCUAUUGUGUUAAGCGUAAUUGCCCCAAAAAACAAGUGAGCAAAGACAGCUUUCUUAGAAUCUAUGUUUUGGAUUUUUACAAGGUUCCUUUUAACUUCAUCUAUAUUUUAUAGUCAUUUCUUAUUUGUUUUCUUUUGCAUCGAAUUGGAACCUGCAGGUUCAAGUUUUUGCUCUUUCUCAUUGGUAAUCAACUCAUUUUUCAUACUUUUCAUUGAAUUUGCUGUCUUUCAAGUAAAGAAUCCAUGUUAAUCUCAUCAGAAAUGGUAAAUAAAACAUGUCAAGCUCCAAUGGGAUUUUGGCAUUAUCAAUUUAACCAUCAAACUGAAAAAAGAAAAAUCAAAAGGAAUUUUCUUGAUCUAAGACUAUAUAGACACAUGGGUACCUAUUACCUAAACUAAUCUUGUGUUCCUAAACUGAUAAAUUUUGAAUUAAAAAAAAAUCAAAACCAUGGAAUAAUGUGUGUUUUAUAGAUCAUUGUAAUUCAAGGGUGGAUGUUAUUUUUUUGUAAUUGACAGUCAAAAGAAUAUAAUUAUAAUAAAUUGAACUCAAAUAAUUUCAUAAAUCAAUGAAGCAUGUCUGUCAGAUUUGUUUAAAAAUUGUACCACUUCAAAAAUUCAACAUAUCAAUAUAAAUAUAAAUAUAUUAAUUAGGAUAAUAAGAUAAAAUAGAAGUUGCAAUUGCUUACUUAUUGGAACCAGAAUAUUUAGACUUACUAUGAGGCUGGAGAUUAAAGUAGCAGAUGUGUCGAAAACAACUAAUCUGAGAGUUUCUUGAUCCCCCAAAUGCAGACACUAGCUAACAAUUAUAUUAUUAAAUCCACAUGAUUCCAUUGCUACAUGGAACUUUUGUUCCUGGUGCACACCAGGAACUGGUGUCAGUUCCUGGUAUGCACCAGGAAUUAGAAACUGAGACCAGUUCCUGAUGCACGAUCAGGGACUGAUAUCAUUCCCUGGUAUCCACCAAGAACUGAGAUUCAGUUCCUGGUCCAUACCAGUUUUCUAUACACAGAUUUGGUGAUACAAGUUUUUAGACAUACAUAUUGAAGGCAAAUUUACUUGGCACUUUGACAAUCAGCUCAUAGGAUUUUACUACUUAGGAGUAGAAAUAAAUGUGGGAAUUUUUCUUAAUGUUAUCCUCUAUCUACAGCUAGACAAAAAAUAAAUAAGAAAAUGAAAAAUAAAAAGUAUAAUGGGUGCCUUUACACUAUCUCAACUGUCAAUAAUCAUAUACCUAAUCAUUUGAUAGUCUUUAAAACUGUGUAUUCCUUCUGUAUAGAACUAUAUCAGCAGCUUGUAAGUGGGAUUUCUUCACUCUCUCCGUUAUCUUCGAUUCAUGAAUUUAGAAUGACAAUAAUUUCAGUUCCACCAGGAACUGCUCUAACAAUCCAUCACUUAGGGGACAUUGAGAAUUAUUCAAAAACAAUUGGGGGCUACGAGAAUCCAUCACCCCUAAGAUUAUUGAGCUAAAAUAAAAUAUCGAAAAUCAAACCCACAAUAUAUUGUGCCUCCAACCUUAUCGAGCAUUAUAGGUUCUUUUGAACUUUAUAGAAAAUCAAAACAAGACCUCCAACAGUGAAUUUCAUUAAUCUUCCAACAGUCAUUGGUUUGUUAACAUCAUCUAUGGACAAAUUCUCACAACAAAUAAAAGAAAAAUAGAAGUGAGAUAUCAAACCUGGUUGCAAUCGGGCGAAGGAAGAAGAAUGGGCGCCGCAGGUCCUCCAAGAUCAACUACUCGUCAAUCUGGUGUUUGGGGCGAUGGAGAUUGUGCUUUACCAACAAGCAAUAUAGAGAGUGGAGAGGAACUUGACUCGCACGAUAUGGUCCUCCAAACCUUCGUUUUCAGUUCAAGACCCGAGUAACUUCAAUUUAUUUAUUUAUUUUUC